GGUAUGGCGUCAGGCGGGAGAUGACCAUGUCUGAGUUCCCAACCUCCCAUUAAGGAUGAGCCUUCCCCCUUUUCUACUAUCGCACCAUCGAAGCCACCAGAGGAUGCUACAGAGAUGUGUCUAAGUGGUCAUUCGGUGUAGGUGGUGAGACGAGGUGAGGUCCAUCGAAGAACCUCACCAUGAAGCAUUGGAGAUAUGAGCAUGAGAGACAGCAUCUCUGUAUCGAGAUUUCAUCCGACUUCACCACACUUAUUAGAGCAUGGUCGAGCCAUGGCGAACUGAGCUGGGCAUCAUAUGCCACAGCUAUACUCCUGUGACGCUCUCCGAGUGGUAUCAUGUUACACCAGCUCAGAGGGAGGUCUUCUAUAGCCACUUACAGAUAAAAUAAUAUUUAGUGAAAUAUUGAAUUAAUACGGUAUUCUUACAAUAUUUGUUAUUGCCAGGCUAUAUUUGAUAUUAUUGAUUUUGAG